CGUUCUAUGGUCAAAUUGGUAAAGGCAUCACCGAUCACAGGAGAGGAUGCGGGUUCGAGUCCCUCUGGAACGG
rnacentral:tRNA from 1 species